rnacentral:lncRNA from 1 species
GGGCCGAGGCGCGGGCCGUGUGCCGCUGGGUGGCCCUGCGAGCCGCCGCUCUCCGCCUCUCUAGGCUCAGCUUCCAUCACCGCGUGGCGGAGCCCGUGUCCGGGCCAGUAUUUCUGCCUGUCACUUAUUAUCUGGUUGAGCUGGUGGCGGGAGUCCCGGCCCAUGUGUGUUACCAGAGGGAUGGUCUAGAGAAUGAAUCCAUCUGUCAGAGGCAUCCAAGAAGAAAGGCCUGGGCCAGGAUCACAUGGAAGACCCUGAAGACAGGAUCGGGUCUUGCCUGCCUGGAUUGAACAGAGACGCAGUGACCAGUCCCAUCUGCUCCCACCCUGCUGCCCUCUGAAUCGAGAGUUUGAGGCCAUGACCAGGGUAACGUUCAGCUGGUAGAGACAACACAACCCUGCUGGCUGUUUAAGCCAUGCUGGAGUGGUGCUCACAGGGUAACAAUUUUCAAGUGCUACGGAUGCAAUAGCUCAGCGACUGGCAGCGCAGCACGUACCUGCUGUCGUGGGAGGUGAGAGCCACCAGUGCCCGACAGCGGCUGCAAGGCAGUGGUGGCGCUCUGCAGCCAGCCGGCCCACCCCUCCAACAUCUGCAAGGGGGUGGGAGGCUGCCUCACCAAGCUACCUGCUACUCAUGGGGGCGAUGGGCAUCAGGGUGGCCUGCCUGGAGGUUCUGUAUCCUUGGAUUCAACCAACCAUGGAAUAAAAGUACUAACAAAAAGGAUGGUUAUGUCUGCACUGAACAUCCUUGUCAUUACCCCCUAAACAAUACAGCGUGACAACGA